UCGCGUCUUANCAUGCAAGUCGAACGAUGAACCACUUCGGUGGGGAUUAGUUGGCGAACGGGUGAGUAACACGUGGGCAAUCUGCCCUGCACUCUGGGACAAGCCCUGGAAACGGGGUCUAAUACCGGAUACUGACCCGCCUGGGCAUCCAGGCGGUUCGAAAGCUCCGGCGGUGCAGGAUGAGCCCGCGGCCUAUCAGCUUGUUGGUGAGGUAACGGCUCACCAAGGCGACGACGGGUAGCCGGCCUGAGAGGGCGACCGGCCACACUGGGACUGAGACACGGCCCAGACUCCUACGGGAGGCAGCAGA
rnacentral:rRNA from 1 species